CCUACGGGAGGCAGCAGUGAGGAAUAUUGGUCAACGGACGAGAGUCUGAACCAGCCAAGUAGCGUGAAGGAUGACUGCCCUAUGGGUUGUAAACUUCUUUUAUAUGGGAAUAAAAUGUUCCACGUGUGGGAUUUUGUAUGUACCAUAUGAAUAAGGAUCGGCUAACUCCGUGCCAGCAGCCGCGGUAAUACGGAGGAUCCGAGCGUUAUCCGGAUUUAUUGGGUUUAAAGGGAGCGUAGGUGGAUUGUUAAGUCAGUUGUGAAAGUUUGCGGCUCAACCGUAAAAUUGCAGUUGAAACUGGCAGUCUUGAGUACAGUAGAGGUGGGCGGAAUGCGUGGUGUAGCGGUGAAAUGCUUAGAUAUCACGAAGAACUCCGAUUGCGAAGGCAGUUCACUGGACUGCAACUGACACUGAGGCUCGAAAGUGUGGGUAUCAAACAGGAUUAGAUACCCCAGUAGUC
rnacentral:rRNA from 1 species